ACGGCAGCUUACCAGAAAGGGACGGCUAACUACGUGCCAACAGCCGCGGUAAUACGUAGGUCCCGAGCGUUGUCCGGAUUUAUUGGGCGUAAAGCGAGCGCACGCGGUUUGAUAAGUCUGAAGUUAAAGGCUGUGGCUCAACCAUAGUUUGCUUUGGAAACUGUCAACUUGAGUGCAGAAGGGGAGAGUGGAAUUCCAUGGGUAGGGGGUGAAUUGGGUAGAUAUAGGGAGGAACACGGGGGGCGAAAGCGGCUUUCUGGUUUGUAACUGACGCUGAGGCUGGAAAGCGUGGGGAGCGAACAGGAUUAGAUACCCUGGUAGUCCACGCCGUAAACGAUGAGUGCUAGGUGUUGGGUCCUUUCCGGGAUUCAGUGCCGCAGCUAACGCAUUAAGCACUCCGCCUGGGGAGCACGACCGCAAGGUUGAAACUCAAAGGAAUUGACGGGGGCCCGCACAAGCGGUGGAGCAUGUGGUUUAAUUCGAAGCAACGCGAAGAACCUUACCAGGUCUUGACAUCCCGAUGCUAUUUCUAGAGAUAGGAAGUUACUUCGGUACAUCGGUGACAGGUGGUGCAUGGUUGUCGUCAGCUCGUGUCGUGAGAUGUUGGGUUAAGUCCCGCAACGAGCGCAACCCCUAUUGUUAGUUGCCAUCAUUCAGUUGGGCACUCUAGCGAGACUGCCGGUAAUAAACCGGAGGAAGGUGGGGAUGACGUCAAAUCAUCAUGCCCCUUAUGACCUGGGCUACACACGUGCUACAAUGGUUGGUACAACGAGUUGCGAGUCGGUGACGGCGAGCUAAUCUCUUAAAGCCAAUCUCAGUUCGGAUUGUAGGCUGCAACUCGCCUACAUGAAGUCGGAAUCGCUAGUAAUCGCGGAUCAGCACGCCGCGGUGAAUACGUUCCCGGGCCUUGUACACACCGCCCGUCACACCACGAGAGUUUGUAACACCCGAAGUCGGUGAGGAAACCUUAUGGAGCCAGCCGCCUAAGGUGGGAUAGAUGAU
rnacentral:rRNA from 1 species